UCAGGUUGUCACUAACUCUUGCAUCAGCACCAUAGGGUUGGGAAUUGGGUAGUGAUUACUUUGUGGAUGUAGGUGAAGGCAUGUGUUAAAAGCUCCAGGGAAUAUCAGUUAGAGCUCAGAAUUGGGUCAAGCGAGGGGGAGAUAAUUUUUAUUUGCUGAAUAUACAAGUAAGGAAGCAUCUUGUCAUUUUCUAUCAAUAUCUUUGUCAUGUUUGAGACCUGUCAUGCUGUUCUGGUGGUAAUCUCGAAGGUUUUUGAAGUUGAUUACUGCAGUGAUAGGUUGAAGUUUAGUGACACUUGAAGAUGA
rnacentral:misc_RNA from 1 species